rnacentral:rRNA from 1 species
CCUACGGGUGGCAGCAGUGGGGGAUAUUGCACAAUGGGGGGAACCCUGAUGCAGCGACGCCGCGUGGGUGAAGGAGUGCUUCGGCAUGUAAAGCCCUAUCGGCAGGGAAGAAGCACGACGGUACCUGACUAAGACGCCCCGGCUAACUACGUGCCAGCAGCCGCGGUAAUACGUAGGGGGCAAGCGUUAUCCGGAUUUACUGGGUGUAAAGGGAGCGUAGACGGUGCAGCAAGUCUGAUGUGAAAGGUCGGGGCCCAACCCCGGGACUGCAUUGGAAACUGUUGAACUGGAGUACAGGAGAGGUAAGCGGAAUUCCUAGUGUAGCGGUGAAAUGCGUAGAUAUUAGGAGGAACACCAGUGGCGAAGGCGGCUUACUGGACUGUAACUGACGUUGAGGCUCGAAAGCGUGGGGAGCAAACAGGAUUAGAUACCCCUGUAGUC